AUACUAUUAGUUUUUUCAAAGAACCCUUAGACUCUUUUUCAGCUUUGGGUAUAUGCUUAGCUGAUGCUGAACCCAGAACUGAAAAUGAAGUGUUUUCAAUAGAAAACAUAACUUGCAAAAUGUUAUGUUUGCCACAUAACGACCAAUUACUUUUUAUACCAAUAUUACAUGGCUGCACUAAUUAACGUUUUUAAUUUUGUUUUCAUAUACUUACGAGUACAACGUCCGGUGUGUUUUACGUGGGCACCUGCUGACGACAGCCUUACUCCACGGCGCUCAAAAGCACAGCGGAUCAAAUCAAUGCGUUGAUCAGCGCCCUGAGAAUUCAAAGCAUUUUCAGUACCAAUUGGCAGUGUGGAAUGGACACACUAUACUUACGAGUACAUACAUAUGUAAAUAUUUGGAGCUUCGCCGGAUGAACGCCGGAAUACGCCAAUCAUUUUUAGAUAGCUUCAAUGAUGGUUGCGAUAAGUGCAACAACCUUCAAAAAUUAUUUGUGGACAAAAUUACAGAAUUGGGAGAAUUAAUUGAAAAACAAAACAAAGUGAUCAUUAAUAUUUGGUGGAACAUACCGUUUUGUUACAAAAUCUAACUCAAAAGGAGAAGGGAACUGUUGGAGCUAUUUCCAAAUUUCCUAUCAAAACAGAUGAUGUUAUCGUGAAAUUAGAGGCGGAAAUAAAUGAUGAUAAUAGAGAUUGCUAUAUUUCAGCAGUGCAAUACUUGUUGCAAGGAGAGGUUGUAAAAAAUUUCGAAAAAGUUUUGGCGCGUAAAUUUUGCCUUGAAUACAACAUUAAUGGAAUUGGCAACAAAAAGAGCUUCAAGGAUUAUUCUAUGGUGUAUACCAUACUUAAAAAAGCAAUUGGAAAAACAGCAGUAAAUGCGGAAGCGGAAAUGAGGAGGGCUUUUCAGGUCGUAAAAAAGAGGAAUUUCCGGCAGGUUUCUUCGUUCAAAAAUCAUACCUAAUAUAAAAACUGAUUUUUUUGCGUUACACAUACGUACCUCUCCCAAAAUAGAGUAAAGUUUUUAAUAAUAAUUUAAGUGUAAUAUAUGUAAAUAAAAUUUUUUUUAUAAAAAAUGAG